rnacentral:rRNA from 1 species
UACGAAGGGGGCGACCGGUGCCCGAUUUUACUGGGAGUAAGGCGCACGUAGGCGGCUUCGUAAGUCUGGUGUGAAAUCUCACGGCUCAACCGGGAGGCUGCACCAGAUACUGCGAAGCUCGAGGACGGGAGAGGGGAUCGGAAUUCCCGGUGUAGCGGUGAAAUGCAUUGAUAUCGGGAGAAACACCAGUGGCGAAGGCGGAUCUCUGGCCCGUUGCUGACGCUGAGGUGCGAAAGCUGGUGGAGCGAAAGGG